UAGCUGUGACGAUAAUUGUGUCAAAUGUGGUAAUGGGUUUAUCACAAAUAGUUCAUUUCGGUGGCUAAAACUGGCACAUCUGAGCUU